GCUGCGCCUAAGUUGUGCCCUGCCUCUGGAUCGUGCCCCUCGCACGGUGUGGCCGGCCACCACCGCCACCUCCCCGCGUGAUUCCGCAGACAAGGGGGACUCCGUUCAGCAUCAUCGUGGGGUCGAAGGCGUGGCUGGAGAAUCCCGGCGAGGCGUGAGUUGACUGCGAGGUACCAAGAUCAGGGCAACAACUUCACGGUCGCCACCACCAAUGGAAAAACGGAGUCGAUCAGUGCCUACCAACUGUUUGUGGAAUUACUUUAGUGGAAUUGCCAAUGCGAGCUAUUGUUGCUUACAACUGCAGAAAACAUCCGGACGAGACGAGCCUGCUUCUCAUGAUG